UGUCCCAAAUGUGUUUUUAUCCUGAGUCUGAGGCAGGCUGAACUUUAAUCUGCAUGAUGUGCUGCAGCUUGCCAUCAUGUGGGGACA
rnacentral:snoRNA from 10 species